rnacentral:rRNA from 1 species
GACGAACGCUGGCGGCGUGCUUAACACAUGCAAGUCGAACGGUGAAGCUCCAGCUUGCUGGAGUGGAUCAGUGGCGAACGGGUGAGUAACACGUGAGCAACCUGCCCCUGACUCUGGAAUAAGCGCUGGAAACGGCGUCUAAUACUGGAUACGAGAAGGGUCCGCAUGGGCACUUUCUGGAAAGUUUUUCGGUUGGGGAUGGGCUCGCGGCCUAUCAGCUUGUUGGUGAGGUAAUGGCUCACCAAGGCGACGACGGGUAGCCGGCCUGAGAGGGCGACCGGCCACACGGGGACUGAGACACGGCCCAGACUCCUACGGGAGGCAGCAGGGGGGAAUAUUGCACAAUGGGCGAGAGCCUGAUGCAGCGACGCCGCGUGAGGGAUGACGGCCUUCGGGUUGUAAACCUCUUUCAGCAGGGAAGAAGCGAAAGUGACGGUACCUGCAGAAGAAGCACCGGCUAACUACGUG